rnacentral:tRNA from 1 species
GGUUCCGUAGCUUGGAGGAAAGAAGCGCCAGUCUAUCGAAUUUGUAGUCGUGGGUUCGAUUCUCAUCGGAGCAC